rnacentral:rRNA from 1 species
AUUGAACGCUGGCGGCAGGCCUAACACAUGCAAGUCGAACGAGUGGCGGACGGGUGAGUAAUGUCUGGGAAACUGCCUGAUGGAGGGGGCUAACUACUGGAAACGGUAGCUAAUACCGCAUACCAUCGGAUGUGCCCAGAUGGGAUUAGCUAGUAGGUGGGGUAAAGGCUCACCUCGGCGACGAUCCCUAGCUGGUCUGAGAGGGUGACGAGCGACACGGGAAAUUGGACACGGUCCAUACUCCUACGGGAGGCAGAAUUGGGGAAGAUUGCAAAAUGGGCUCAAGCCUGAUGCAGACAUGCCGCGUGUAUGAAGAAGUCCUUCGGGUUGUAAAGUACUUUCAGCGGGGAGGCGUUACCCGCAGAAGAAGCACCGGCUAACUCCGUGCCAGCCGCCGCGGUAAUAC